AACGGAUCGUUGGUAUUGUGUUUUGCGAGGUUUAGGUUCAGAUUAUUUUCAAGGGUUCGCUGUAGUUAAGUGUGAAAUAGUAAGUAAUAUCAGUUGAUGUACUUUGAGUUUACGCGGAGCAUUAUGACGUAUCAUAAGCGACAAGUAAGAACAUACGCAAGGUAACGCGUGUUUUGAAUGGAACAGUCAUUUGAAGAAAUAUAGAUUUACUUCAAUAGAAAGGUAAAGAAUAUUAAACGUAAGAAUGCUAAACACUGUGGAUAUGAUCGUCGUACUUGUCUAUUUUGCAAUCAUACUCGCAGUUGGAAUAUUGGCGAGCUGCAGAUCAAAACGAACAACAAUCCAGGGAUAUUUCUUGGCCGGACGAAACAUUAUUUGGUUCUUGGUGGGGACUUCCCUUUUCGUCAGCAACGUAGGUAGCGAGCAUUUCAUCGGCCUCGCUGGAUCUGGUGCUCUUAAUGGGAUAGGAGCGGCUUCUUUGGCUUUGAAUCCACUUUUUCUCCUCCAGCUGUUGGGAUGGGUGUUCGUUCCUGUGUAUAUCGCAUCGAAGACCUCCACGAUGCCCGAGUACCUCGAGAAACGAUUCGGUGGAAAACGACUUCGUAUUUAUCUGGCGGUGCUAAGUCUUGUGUUGUAUUGUCUCACUAAGUUAUCGGUCAACUUAUAUGCUGGUGCUUUAUUCAUUCAAGAGUCGAUGGGUUGGAAUCUUUAUAUUUCUAUCACCCUGUUAAUUUGUAUAACAGGGGUGUUGACAGUAACAGGGGGUCUUACAGUUGUGAUGUAUACUGAUUCUUUCCAAGCUGUUCUCAUGCUGGUUGGAUCCGUUGUAUUAACUGCACAAGGUUUUUUACAAGUUGGAGGCUACCAAAGUAUGAAGGAUAAAUACAUGAUGUCAUCACCCAACCUUACACGCAUUGAAGCUGUCUACAACAUUACCAUCAACUCAACAAAUGAAUGCAUAAGAUACCCAAACCCACAAGCAUUCAAACUUUUAAGAGGGAUUAAUGAUGAUAAUGUUCCACUGCUUGGUUUUAUAUUUGGGCAAACUCCUUCCUCUGUAUGGUACUGGUGCGCAGAUCAGGUUAUAGUCCAGAGAACACUGGCAGCCAGGAACUUAUCUCACGCCCAAGGUGGGACAAUCUUGGCUGCUUUGUUAAAAACAUUGAGUGUUUUCUUCAUGUUGGUUCCUGGUUUAAUUGCUAGGAUCUUAUAUACAGAUGAUUUAUCCUGUGUACCUGGUGAACACUGUAUGAAGGUUUGUGAAAGUAACGUUGAAUGUUCUAAUCUUGCAUUUCCUAAAAUUGUGCUUGGGAUAUUACCGUCAGUAUUGCUUGGGUUCCCAUUAUCCUUCAAUUCCAAACGGCCAACUUUACUUCUACAUACAAGAAGUCACCAACUAUAUAUCACCACCAAUAGCAGCUAUCUUUGUCGUUGCGGUGCUUUGGGGAAAAUGUAAUGAAAAGGGAGCUUUCUAUGGGGGGUUAGUUGGAAGUUUGCUCGGUCUCGCACGUUUGAUCACGAUCUUUGUGUUUCAACCCCCAAGAUGUGGUGAAGCAGACACAAGACCCUACCUUAUAACAAGCAUGCAUUAUAUGUAUUAUGCGGCCGUUCUGUUCUUUACUUCACUGGUGGUUGCUAUUGUUGUAAGCUGCUUCACAGAACCAACAACUAACAAUAUUGCUCCACUUACUUACUGGACGAGAAACAACGAGGAAAAUAUCUCCCAUGAAACUGAGUUGCAAAAAAUGAAUUCAGAUCAAAGUGAUUGCGAUGAUGAUGUCAUAGAGUGUAAGGGAAAUCCCCAAAAUGUGGAAACAAUAAAAAGCAAUGGUUGUUGUGCUCAUCCAUGUAUGAAGAACUGUUUGAAUUUUAUCUGUGGCAUUGGGGAAUCCCUUAAACCGACACUGAGCGAGCAAGACACAACAACCUAUCAAUCUUCAUUAAAACAAAAUCCUAAAACAAAAAUAUUUCUAACAUUUCUAUUAUUUGUGUGUCUCGGUAUAGGGGCUUUUAUCUACAUCUAUUGGUCCAUCUAAUAUGGGAGUUGGUAAGGUAAAAUCUAUGUAAA